UACUUAGUUCUUUCCAACCUGGAGAUUGAGAUCAUGAUUCUCAGCUCACCUUGGUUUCCCUUGGGGGCAUUCCUGCAAGUCCCCACUGGACUUGGUUCUUAGCAAAGUUCCAUCCCAGUGACAAGCGGGAGAGCUCCAGCUCUUCCAAGUUCGAGAGAGAUCUCCAUCUCACACCUCCCGACUUUCUCCCGGCCGCGUCUCUGUGAACAUGGACCCAACGCCCUGCUUUGGGGGCUGAUUUAUGGUUGAAUUAGGGAAAAGUCCACGGAGGGUGUAAAAUACAAUGUCCACACUGGGGCCUGAUCUCCCACUUUAUCGGUGAUUGCAAGUGCGGUUUAUAACCCCGGUGCCAAAUCGAAAUCAAGGUGAUUUGUGCAUCAAUCUCCCGGAUAAAAUCAGGCCACGCUCUAUUGUGGUUUGACCUUCGGGGUGCCUUUGGCUGGUCUGUCUCGUCUAAGUCCCUUGGACAAUUACCCAGGGACAGCUGGGAAAUGCAGCGAUAAUGGCCGGAGCUGGGAUUACCAGCUGAAUCAAAAGGCUUAACUGCUCACCCCACAGAUGCCUGAGCGCCCCAGAAAAAGCCCAGAGAGGUAGAGAUGAAGCUCUAGGAUCAUUAAGACAAUCAGGUGGCCUGGCCGGCAGAGGAGGGGAGUGACCUGCUGUCUGUUUCUUAGACCUUUGGUCAACUCUGCUGAACUCCACAGCAAAUCUGAAAGGUGAAAUUUAGCAUCACACACACACACACACACACACACACACACACACACACGAAUAUAUAGAUAUAAUGCAGAAAAAUGGAUCUAAGAAGAAUCUGCAGAGGCCCUCCUCGCCUUCUUUAUAAGCUCAAGAGCUCAGCUGAUCAUGGAAUAAUGUUUCUAAAAUGACCAGAAGGCUGGGGCUGGGUAGGAAAGGUAUUGGUGGCAGCUGUUUUGCCUGGUAUCACUGACUGUCUUUUCUGAUUCUGAGCGAACGCCCUGAGAGACUUCUGGAAAGAUCUGCCAUCUCCUUUGGGAAAGUCCUAAUCCUAAGCUGAAGUUUUGUUUGAUUUGUUUGGAAAUAACACAUUACAUGAGGAGAUGGCUGGUCCGAGUUGAUUAAAAACCGAGAAAGCCAUUUUCAGAAGAAAUGAUGCUGUUUUCUCUCCCAGAAGCUCCUUUGUGGAGCAUGAGCCAGUCAGAUAUGUAAGGCAAGUUGGCUGAUGAAUCCCACCCAGACGGAAACAGGGAAGAAGCAGAAAGUUGCUUACACAUCAUUGGAUACCCCCAAGCAUGUGCUGAUUUGAAUUGUUUCCAAAUCUGCUUUGGACUCAUCUGUAUCUGUUAGAAAACGGUAAUAUAUUUGAGUUGGCUUAGUAUAUUUUAUUGUAUAGGUUCUUAAGCAUAUGAGUUAAAUUGGUGUUUGAGCCCCAGAAAAAAUUUUAAUAUAUUGGUAUUUAGUAUUGUAGAGGUCUAAAAUGCAUUGAUUUUUCAGAUAGAGCCACAAAUAAUAUCCUCUCCAGUGACUGAGCUAAACAUUUUGGAAUUCAGCCAACUUAUUUCUGUCAAACUUAGGGUGCUAUCAGUGUUCAGGGGUCAUUUUACAAACAAUUAAGGAGAAGACAUGCAAAUAAAUGAAUAUGAUAUAAUGUUUUCUUAAAAUUAGAAUUCUUAAAUCUAUUCAAAAACUCUGUAUACUUUGGGGACAAAUACAUUGAUAAUCUAAAACUAUCAUUACUUUAAAGUUUCUCUCUUUUAGUUUGCUCUUGGUCUCUGAGUUUUAACAUCUGUGUUCUCCAUGCAACCUUGUCCUCCGUGCCUUUCUCUGCAUUGGUGAUUCAGCAUUUCCUGAAAGAGUACUUGGCUAUUGGUUCUGGAUUUUUCUUCCCAGGAAAUUAUAUCCCUCCAAAUUAUGCAGUAUUAUUUGUGGCUUAAACAUUUGUGAUAAUUAAACAUUUUGUUAUUCAUACUGAGUAAGAUUUUGAA